AUCACUUCUUCACAUUUGACUUCACAUCAGAUCAAGUGUUGUAUCAGUUUAAUAUCUGAUAUGUCAUCUAACGGAGGACCAUAUUCUACACUUGUAUUUGAUGGACAUGGUCAUAAUAAAGAUCUUUUUAUUUAUGCAUUAAUAAUACCAUUGUGAUUAGGUGCCCCAGU
rnacentral:snRNA from 1 species